rnacentral:rRNA from 1 species
CCUACGGGCGGCAGCAGUGGGGAAUAUUGGACAAUGGGCGAAAGCCUGAUCCAGCCAUGCCGCGUGUGUGAAGAAGGCCUUCGGGGUGUAAAGCACUUUCAGUGGGGAAGAAAGCCUUGGGGCUAAUACCCUCGAGGAAGGACAUCACCCACAGAAGAAGCACCGGCUAACUCCGUGCCAGCAGCCGCGGUAAUACGGAGGGUGCGAGCGUUAAUCGGAAUUACUGGGCGUAAAGCGCGCGUAGGCGGUCUGAUAAGCCGGUUGUGAAAGCCCCGGGCUCAACCUGGGAACGGCAUCCGGAACUGUCAGGCUAGAGUGCAGGAGAGGAAGGUAGAAUUCCCGGUGUAGCGGUGAAAUGCGUAGAGAUCGGGAGGAAUACCAGUUGCGAAGGCGGCCUUCUGGACUGACACUGACGCUGAGGUGCGAAAGCGUGGGUAGCAAACAGGAUUAGAUACCCUUGUAGUC